AUCGCUUCUCGGCCUUUUGGCUAAGAUCAUGUGUAGAAUACUCAACAAAAAUGCUAAAACAGGCUUUAAAACAUAAUUUUAAGUGGAGAGGGCAAUAUAAAUUCAAGAGAAUAUUUUAGAUGUUUAGAUCAAAAGGAGAUUCAAAGCUUCAGUAUUUUCAACACUACUUUGCUCUA
rnacentral:snRNA from 1 species